rnacentral:misc_RNA from 1 species
AGCAGCCGCGGUAAUUCCAGCUCCAAUAGCGUAUAUUAAAGUUGUUGCAGUUAAAAAGCUCGUAGUUGAAUUUCGGGGUUAGUAGGUUGGUCAUGCCUCUGGUAUGUACUGGUCUCACUGAUUCCUCCUUCCUGAUGAGCCGUAAUGCCAUUAAUUUGGUGUUGCGGGGAAUUUGGACUGUUACUUUGAAAAAUUAGAGUGUUUAAAGCAGGCAUUUUUGCUUGAAUACAUUAGCAUGGAAUAAUAAAAUAGGACGGCAUGGUUCUAUUUUGUUGGUUUCUAGGACCACCGUAAUGAUUAAUAGGGAUAGUUGGGGGGCAUUAGUAUUCAAUUGUCAGAGGUGAAAUUCUUGGAUUAUUGAAGACUAACUACUGCGAAAGCAUUUUGCCAAGGAUGUUUUCAUUAAUCAAGAACGAAAGUUAGGGGAUCGAAGACGAUCAGAUACCGUCGUAGUCUUAACCAUAAACUAUGCCGACUAGGAAUCAGACGAUGUUAAUUUUUUAAUGACUCGUUUGGCACC